rnacentral:rRNA from 1 species
GCCGCGUGCAGGAAGACGGCCCUAUGGGUUGUAAACUGCUUUUACAGAGGAAGAACCCUCCUUACGUGUAAGGAGCUGACGGUACUCUAUGAAUAAGGAUCGGCUAACUCCGUGCCAGCAGCCGCGGUAAUACGGAGGAUCCAAGCGUUAUCCGGAAUCAUUGGGUUUAAAGGGUCCGUAGGCGGGUCUAUAAGUCAGUGGUGAAAGUCUGCAGCUUAACUGUAGAACUGCCAUUGAUACUGUAGACCUUGAAUUAGUAUGAAGUGGUUAGAAUGUGUAGUGUAGCGGUGAAAUGCAUAGAUAUUACACAGAAUACCGAUUGCGAAGGCAGAUCACUAAUACUAUAUUGACGCUGAUGGACGAAAGCGUAGGUAGCGAACAGGAUUAGAUACCCUGGUAGUCUACGCCGUAAACGAUGGUUACUAGCUGUCCGGCCUAAUUGAGGGCUGGGUGGUUAAGCGAAAGUGAUAAGUAACCCACCUGGGGAGUACGUUCGCAAGAAUGAAACUCAAAGGAAUUGACGGGGGCCCGCACAAGCGGUGGAGCAUGUGGUUUAAUUCGAUGAUACGCGAGGAACCUUACCAGGGCUUAAAUGCAGUCUGACGUAUCUGGAAACAGAUAUUUCUUCGGACAGAUUGCAAGGUGCUGCAUGGUUGUCGUCAGCUCGUGCCGUGAGGUGUCAGGUUAAGUCCUAUAACGAGCGCAACCCCUGUGGUUAGUUGCCAGCGAGUAAUGUCGGGAACUCUAGCCAGACUGCCGGUGCAAACCGUGAGGAAGGUGGGG